ACUUCUUAAUGUAUCUUAAUUGUAUUUUUAGAUUAAUAACUAAUCCAUGUUUAAAUAUACAUAACAUGGAUUCUUUUACUUCGAAUUGUGCUUGGAUGUAUGAUAGGUGUUACCCCAUUAGAAUAGUAUUGAAACCAUCUUUUGUAUAGGGGGUUGAAGAGUUUAUAAACAAAGCUCACCAAUACAAAUAUUAUAAAGGUGAUGAGGGAUUAGAUGUCCAUGUCUCAAAUGUAAUUGUACAAGGAUUUUGAAUGAUGAAAUUGUAAAGGUUCACCUUUACAAACAAGGGUUCAAACUUGAUUAUUUUGUUUGGACUAAUCAUGGUGAAGAAAUACCACAUGUUGAUUUACAUGCUAAAGAUAAUUGUAUGGAUGUUUAAGACAGUGUUGUAGAUGUGCCUCGAGGGGAACAAUUUAUGUUUAUGCAAGAGAUGAUGUCUGAUGCUUUUAGACAAUAUGAGUCACUUGACACACCAGAGUUUGACAACAUGGAAGAGCCUCCAAAUGAAGAAACUCAAAGAUUUUAUAAUCUGUUGACAGAGUCAAAUAAGUCGUUGUUUGAAGGGGCUAAAGACUCUAAACUAUCCAUAUGUGUGAGGCUAUUAGCUUGCAAGUCCAAUUGGGAUGUUCCUGAUCAAUGUUUAGAGUUUAUUAUACAUAUGCUUUUGGAUGUAACACCCAUAAAAGGGAGUUUGCCAAAAAGUUAUUAUGAUGCCAAACGAUUAAUAGCAAAACUAGAAUUGGAAGCUAAGAGGAUGAUUGUUGUGUGGUAGUCUUCAUAUAACGUAAGGUGGCAUAGAGACUUGAGGAUGAGGAACAGAUAAAGUAAUUUUUUUACUCAAAGGCCUCUCAUAAAUUGUUUGAUAUGUUUAGUGAAGCUCGAAAAAUAGGUAAAAGGCCAUUCUAGGCUAGACAAGAUGUGUGGAACCAACUGGUAGCACAUUGGAAUUCAACUGCUUUUCGAUCAAAGUCUACACAAGCCUCACUAAAUCAAGCAUCUAAAAAGGGCGGGACUCUUCAUACAGGUGGCUCAAUUACAAUUCAUGAUCAUGCCAAACGCAUGGCAAGAGAAUUUGGUUGCUCAGUACAUAUUGAUGAGGUCUUUCAAUAGACCCACAUACGAAAAGAAACUAGAGAGUUUGUUGAUGAAAGAUCUAAGAAAACAUAUCUAUGUUUGAGGCUGCAUCAUCUGUUCAUGAAUCACAUCCUAUGGAGCCUAGUUUGGAGGAUACAAUUAAGUCUAAAUGUUGGUCUGAUGUAGUUGGUGGCAUGACCACUAAGGGGCGAUUGUAGGGAGCUGGAGACCUUGCUUGUGAUUUUAAAGAUACACAGAGCAGUCGUCUCAAGCUUAAAAGGAAAGUAUAUUAUAGUAAUUCACAUGACAUUGAAGAUAUUGUUCAAUUGAAACAAUGACUUGUAGAAAAUGAUAUGCUUAUUCAUUAGUUACAACAGUUUCAAUCAAUUGUUAUGCAGUUCUUACCCACAGAAGCACAAAUUGCCAUUCAAAAUAUUAGUCAACAAAAUGUCAACCUAGAUCAACAAAAUGGGGAACAACAACAACAACAACAACAAUAAGAUGACUAAGGAAAAAAUCAAGAAGACUCUCCUAAUUAUGAUGAUUAUUAGUUAGCAUUAGAAAAAUAUGAAUCUAUUUGAAUUAACUAUAUAUGAAUUGUUUAAUAUAUGUUAG